rnacentral:piRNA from 1 species
UCCCUACUCCAUUGUCUAUGUUAGGUGU